UGGGGAAUCUUGGACAAUGGGGGAAACCCUGAUCCAGCGACGCCGCGUGGAUGAAGAAGGCCUUAGGGUUGUAAAGUCCUUUCACCGGGGAGGAUGAUGACGUUACCCGGAGAAGAAGCACCGGCUAACUCCGUGCCAGCAGCCGCGGUAAGACGGAGGGUGCUAGCGUUGUUCGGAAUCACUGGGCGUAAAGGGCGCGUAGGCGGCUUGGUUAGUCAGAUGUGAAAGCCCAGGGCUCAACUCUGGAACUGCAUUUGAUACUCCCAAGCUUGAGGUCGAAAGAGGAGAGUGGAAUACCCAGUGUAGAGGUGAAAUUCGUAGAUAUUGGGUGGAACACCAGUGGCGAAAGCGGCUCUCUGGUUCGAUUCUGACGCUGAGGCGCGAAAGCGUGGGGAGCAAACAGGAUUAGAUACCCCCGUAGUCC
rnacentral:rRNA from 1 species